UACGGAGGGGGCAAACGUUGUUCGGAAUUACUGGGCGUAAAGGGCGCGUAGGCGGACGAUUAAGUUAGAGGUGAAAGCCCUGGGCUCAACCUAGGAACUGCCUUUGAAACUGAUAGUCUAGAGUCCGAGAGAGGAUGGCGGAAUUCCCAGUGUAGAGGUGAAAUUCGUAGAUAUUGGGAAGAACACCAGUGGCGAAGGCGGCCAUCUGGCUCGGUACUGACGCUGAGGCGCGAAAGCGUGGGGAGCAAACAGG
rnacentral:rRNA from 1 species